rnacentral:lncRNA from 1 species
UCAACUUAUAAGUGCUUAAACCUAUUAAUGUUUUUAUUUAUAAAGUGAUCAAACAAUUUUCAAUUCAUCACAUGCAAAAGAAGUAAAAUAUGUCUCUAAUCCCAAAUUUAUUUUAUGCUUUGAUCAUAUUUCUUUUUCUUUUUCUUGUUGUAACAAAUGGCUCUAAGUCAUAUUUGAUAUAUUCUUCUACUCCAUGCGAGAAUAGUUCUGAUUGUGCAAGAAGUACGUGCUAUCCUUUUUCAACUCCGAAAUGCAUUCGUGAAAUAUGUCAGUGCAUCUAAGUGUGACAAAUAAUGUGUAUGCAUCAUGAUGUAAGUGUAAUCAAUAAGUUGAAAAAUAAUAUACACUAGAUCGAGAAAAGUACGUGUCAUUCGCGGUUGUAAAAUAGUUUUUAUUUAUUUUAUAUUGAGAUUUAAUAAUUUAUUAAGAAUUAUAAUUAAAAAAAUAAAAAUAACUUUUAAGAGAUGGAAUAUGAAAAUAUGAGCGAUAUGACACAAAGAAUAUUAAAGUGUUAAUAUAGGAAUGUGCAUUCUAAAAUUUAAUUAAAAUUAUUAUCAAAUAAUUUUUUUGAUAUCUUUAUAAAUUUAUGUUAUAUUGUUAAACUUUAAUUAUAUGAUAAAUAAAUGGUUGUAAACUCUAAUUACUAUAUUAGUUUAAUUUAUUUUUAAAAGAAAAUUAUCUUAAUUUGUUAUUAAUAGAAUUGUAAAACUAUAGUAUGAUAUUUUUUAUCGAUAUUAAUUAAAAUAUUAGAGUUUUUAUUAUGAGGUAGAAGGUCUUAAUGGCAUCACCACAUCCACUUUGUAGUGGAUAGCUAAUAGAGGGGGUAAUCCAUUAUUUGUUUGUGCACCACCUCCCCAAUUGAUGUGUGGUGUUUUUGUCUAUGUGCUUUGCAUAGUUUUUGUACUUCAUACUUUGGCUUUUCCUUGCUUGUCCACUAUUAUGUGUUGAGGUUUAAUCUCUACUAAGAGGAAUUGAGUUUUACUCUGACGACUUUGGAUUUUUUCCCUUUAUAGUGUCACCACAUGUGCGUUUAACUUUUAGUGUUAGCAUGGAGGGUUUAAGUGUUACCCUAUUAUUAAAAUAAGUAACAACCAAACAUGGUGAAAAUAUCAUUUUUAAUUCUAUUCUUAUAGAACGUUACAUUGUAAAAUGUUAUGUAAGAGAAGUUUAGCAAAAUGGAUAUUUGUUGUAACAUCGUUUAAGCUCCAUAUUCUUUGGAUUAUCUCUCCAUGGAGUUUAUCAAUUUUGUAAGCUACUUUUCCCAUGGUCAAUACUAUAUAUAUAUAUAUUAUUCCUUCCCAGUUUGGUGCUAGUUUUCCUUUCCCGUCAUUCUUUCUGCCGAUGUCUGAUAUACGAAUGAGAAAAUCUUCAGGGUGGUAUUCCUUGGGCUUUAUCCUUUCUUGAUAUUUGACUAUUGUACUUGAUGACCAAUCAAAAAGUGUAUUGAUAAUGUAAAAUUAAUAUUUAAAAGAUCGUCUCCACGAGGAUUGCGAUUUAAUAAGGUGUACGAUUGUGCGAAUUAAAAGUAAUAAAGGUUUUUUUUUAGUUUGAAUGAGAAAAGGGAAAAUAGAAAGGUUAUCCGGUGCGAAAGACGAUUGAUUAUGUGCGAAAAUAGAAACUUUUAAUUCUAUUCUUAUAGAACGUUACAUUAUAAAGUGUUAUGUAAGAGAAAUUUAGUAAAAAUAUCUUUGUUGUAACAUCAUUUAAGCUUUGAUGAAUUCCAUGUUCUUGGAUUAUCUCUCCAUGGAGUUUAUCAAUUUUGUAAGCUACUUUUCUUGUGCUUGUUCAUGUUGUGUACGUUCCUUCCCAGUUUGGUGCUAGUUUUCCUUCCCUGGCAUUCUUUCCGCCGAUGUCGGAUCUGCGAAGGACAAGACCCUCAUGGUGGUAUUCCAUGGGCUUUAUCCUUUUUUUAUAUUUGAUUACUGUACAUGAUUCUAACACCUUACUUCUCGACUCGACAAUGAAAUGAUAAAACAUGUAUAAAACAUAAAUAUUCACCAAGAAAGAUGCACUCACAACCAUCAAACAAUUUUAAACCACAUAAUAAAGAAACAAUUCAUUUGAUAAGUAGCAGAAAAUUGUAAAACGUUUGGCAUUAAAAGCCUCAAA